rnacentral:lncRNA from 1 species
UUUGCUUGUAGUCCUUUUGACAUCUUCAUGCCAAUAACAACUUUUUGUCUUAGUGAAGUUGUGUUUUGGAUGGUGAGAUGGUUUUGUUUCAUGUACUUAAAAUCUUCAACUUUUGCCUUUUUCUUUUUCUUUUUUUUUGCUUAAUUGAAUGUUCAACCCUUUGAAUUUUACCUUUUUUUUUUGUCGAAUCAGGUACCUAAAUUAUAUUCUCGUAAUCAUUUGAAACCCAGUUGUUAUCUUCGUUUUAAAAAAACCCUCCAACAAAUCAGAAAAUUGACAUGUGUGCAAUAUUUAUUUUUCCUUUAAUUCCAU